ACUCCUACGGGAGGCAGCAGUGGGGAAUAUUGCACAAUGGGCGCAAGCCUGAUGCAGCCAUGCCGCGUGUGUGAAGAAGGCCUUGGGUUGUAAAGCACUUUCAGUUGUGAGGAAGGUUGUGUGGUUAAUACCAUAUAAUUUGACGUUAGCAACAGAAGAAGCACCGGCUAACUCCGUGCCAGCAGCCGCGGUAAUACGGAGGUGCGAGCGUUAAUCGGAAUUACUGGGCGUAAAGCGUACGCAGGCGGCUAAUUAAGCCAGAUGUGAAAUCCCCGGGCUUAACCUGGAAUGGCAUUUGGAACUGGUUAGCUAGAGUUUGUAGAGGUGUAGAAUUUCAGGUGUAGCGGUGAAAUGCGUAGAGAUCUGAAGGAAUACC
rnacentral:rRNA from 1 species